AUUGAACGCUGGCGGCAGGCCUAACACAUGCAAGUCGAACGGUAACAGGAAGAAGCUUGCUUCUUCGCUGACGAGUGGCGGACGGGUGAGUAAUGUCUGGGAAACUGCCUGAUGGAGGGGGAUAACUACUGGAAACGGUAGCUAAUACCGCAUAACGUCGCAAGACCAAAGAGGGGGACCUUCGGGCCUCUUGCCAUCGGAUGUGCCCAGAUGGGAUUAGCUAGUAGGUGGGGUAACGGCUCACCUAGGCAACGAUCCCUAGCUGGUCUGAGAGGAUGACCAGCCACACUGGAACUGAGACACGGUCCAGACUCCUACGGGAGGCAGCAGUGGGGAAUAUUGCACAAUGGGCGCAAGCCUGAUGCAGCCAUGCCGCGUGUAUGAAGAAGGCCCUCGGGUUGUAAAGUACUUUCAGCGGGGAGGAAGGGAGUAAAGUUAAUACCUUUGCUCAUUGACGUUACCCGCAGAAGAAGCACCGGCUAACUCCGUG
rnacentral:rRNA from 1 species